UUGUACACACCGCCCGUCACACCAUGAGAGUCUGUAACGCCCGAAGCCGGCGGGAUAACCGAAAGAGUCAGCCGGCGGGAUAACCGAAAGAGUCAGCCGUCUAAGCGGGACAGAUGAUUAGGGUGAAGUCGUAACAAGGUAGCCGUAGAGAACCU
rnacentral:rRNA from 1 species